ensembl:snRNA U6 U6 spliceosomal RNA
AUACUAGAUUAGAAUACAGCACAUAUAUUAGAAUGAUACAGAGAUUGGCUUGACCCCUGCACUAGAAUGACAUGCAAAUCUGUGAAGCAUCCCAUAUUUAA